AUAUGGAAUAUUAUAUGGAUCUUUUAUUUUAUUUUAUAAUUAUUAUAGAUGCAAAGAAUAUACCAUAGAUGUUUCCGAAAUUAAUACAAAUAUUUGGUUCAUAAUUUUGGUUAUGUUUUGACUCGAUCAAAGUAAAAUGUAAAAAAGGCAUAAAUUUCACGGCUCUGUAACCAAAAUUAAUUAGUGUUAGAUUCUUUCUGAAAGGGUUUGAACCAGAAAUGAGUCCGAUCAACCAGUUUAACGAUGAGUUUAGAUCCCAUGUAUAGUCUCGGGCAUGGUACUCACACUUCAUCCAUAGUCCCUGGAUCUGUAGUUAAAGGAGCAUGCUUUCUAAGAUACGCCUUAGGCGUUGCUCGUGGAAUGGCUCCACAAGCACGAAUUGCAAUGGUAUUUUUGUGGUUGCAGCUACUAGCAAUGACUGUCUGAAUCAUGUUUCAUCUUGUUCUUAUUUCUUUUUGUUCUCUUCCAGUAAGCUACGCAAAACGAAUGACAUUUAUCGUUCAUAUGGCUCAGGAGAUGCCAAUCAGCUUCAAAGACAAAUCUGAAUGGUACAAAGCCAACGUUCGAUCCCUCUCAAACUCGGCGGAGAUCGUUUACACAUACAAUCAUUCAACUCAUGGUUUUAGGCUGAAUAAAAAUACAAAUCUAGAAUAGAGUUACUUCAUUUUAGAAUAAAAUAAAGGAAAGAGUUGGAGAUGCUUUUAUAUGUAUCACUCGGACACAUUUUUUUAUGAGAAUAUGCACUAGAUGACUAUGGAUUGUAAAAGAACUAACAAAAUAGCCAUGGUGUCAGAGCACACUCUCUUUCUUCACUUGCAAUUACCUUUUUACCCAUUUUCGUAUUAUAUAUAUAUUACAUGCUAUUUUUCAAAAUCAUAUAAAACACUUAGAAUCAUCUCAUCUUUCUUUCUUCCACCACCACAACUACCACAUCUUCCACCAUCACAACCACCUGAUCUCUUUUUCGAUAAAUCUAGGCUGCCAAACGUUAUUUAUAUUGAUAGAUCAUCUCUCCUUCAAUUUGCAGAAGAUUUGUCAUUUUUUUAUUCGAUUUUGAUUAUUUCUUGGAAUCUCCGUCGUUAUGUUUUUUUUUUAAAUUGUAUGUUAUUUUCUUUUAUACCACGCUACUUUUUCGAAUUACACGUGAUAACUAGAAAUCUCUCUCUCUCGACAUGCUACUUUUUCAUAUAACACAUUAUUUAUUAAAAUCACAUGUAAUUUCUUCUAAAAACAUGAUUUAAAUGUUAAAACUUUCUCAAAUCUAUUAUUUUAUCUUCGUGUAAGCUUGCUCAUGGUUCAACUUUUCAAAUGAAACGAUAUUUGUUUAUAUAACAUGCUAUUUGUGUAAAAUGUACGUUAUAAAAUAUCAUCGUUUUUAUAAAUAUCGUGCUAUUUUAACAUGUUUCAUGCGAUUUGCUAAAAAAUAUCAAAUAUAUCUACAUAAGCUUGCUUUUGGUUCAACUUGCAAGGAUAGUUUUGUAUUUUCUUAUGCCGUCAUAUAGUUAUUUAUCCAUAGAAAAACUGACAAUGGUUAGUUACUUGAUUCUUUUCAAUUCUAUAGUUAGUUUCUAAUAUUACCCUUUUUUUAUUUACUGAACGAGUUACCUAUAUAUGUAGAAUAUCUUUUUGAAACAUCGUAUUAAGUUUUCAAAGAAUUUAGUGAUUUUUUUUUUUUUAAUAACAACUCCAACGAUGUUAUAGUUAUUUGACUUAUUGUAAAUGCUGAAAUAAGAAAGGAGAAAAACAAGUUGAGAAAAACAAAGAGAAACAUAAGCAAAAUAUAAGCAAAACAUAAGGAAAUUAUUUGCAUAAACAUAGAAAUAAAUAUUUGAAUUGAAAAAUUGAAAAAAAAAAAAUGAAAUGGUAAAAUUAUGAAAUGACAUCUGGUACCAAACUUCAUUACAAACCCAGUAAUAUAAAGUUUGAAAUCCCGCUUCAAAAAUUUUUUGUACAUGCUUAAUUAUCUCAUUAUCAAGAACAUUAUCUCAAAAACAAAAUGUGGAAGAAAUGUCAAAUAUUUUGUGGUAAUGUUUUCAAGAUGAUUUGAACUUUAAAUACUAAACAGAGUUGGUAAACCAUGUGAUAAAAGAAGUUUGUUUUGUUUUUGAUUUAAAUUUUAAUUUGACUAGAUUUUAAGGAUUUUUAUUUACUUUGAUGAAUUUUUUUGAGUUUUUAUUUAUUUUUGUUAAGUUAGCUUAAGUUUUUAUUGGUUUUUUUGAAGUAUAUCAGUGUAGGCGCUGACAUCGUAGAUCGUCUUUUUCCAACUACAAUAACCUUAGGAAACGGAAAAAAGUUUGAUGUCGUCUCAUCAUUGUUCAAACCCAGCAGUGGUUUGUCUAACACACCAUUACCUCUACUCGGUACACUUUUUUACCAUCCGUGUUCGUCGAUAAAAAAUCGGGUGACAAUAUUAAAAAUUAUAUCUUAAUAGAAAUUCAACAGCGAAAGUUAUAUUCAAAUGAAUCAUCGUAGAUGUCAAGCCUUCACCCAGAGCCGUGACUAUAAGCUAACGAAAAAGGCAAUUGCCUCAAGGCCCUGAUAUAUUACAGAACCUCAGACCUUAACUACCCUUCGUUUGCAGUCACGAUCAACCAGUCACUAGGUGGAGGCGAAGGCGCGUACACAUAGAGGCGCAUUGUAACGAGCCCAUAAAAUAAGAUUUAAGUGUUGUUAAUCUAAGAAAUAAUAUUGUUAUGGGGCUUAGGCCCAGUUUAAAUAAGCAGCCCAUAAAAUAAGAUUAUAACAGAAUCUGAUCUGUUGUUGAAUCGUACCAAGUAAAUUAUUGGCUUAUCACCAUGAAAUAAUAAGUUAUUAACUUUUAGUAUUCAAAAAAGAAAAAAACGGUACAACCAAAUUAACGAAUUAAUA
rnacentral:sRNA from 1 species